AUAAAACAAUGGGAUAGGAAAGCAGGCCAUAUUUUUCAUAUUGAAAUUCACAACCACACUUUCAUUAACAGCACAACUCAUAGUAUAUUUACAAUACUAUUUACAGCAUAAAAGUCUCACACCUAUCUACACUAAAGCAGGGUUCACAAAAGGGAUGGGAUCUCAAUCCACAUCUGGGUUAUAUUCAAGAUCCCUCUCUGGAUCUUCUUCUUCUUCAAAAGUCUUUCUCCCCUUCAGGUUCCUCUUCCUUAGCUUCUCCUCAGGGUCCUGAAAUGGUUAUUCAAUAACCAAUGAGACCACGUCUCAGCGAGUCCUACCCCCUACGACUCGAUUAGUAAACUAAUACACCAUACGGUUGCCUAAGCACAACACGAGUCAGAGGACUUACCUUGGCCUCAGUUCCAACCUGCAAUUCAAGGUUAAACACAGAUAUUCAAACAAUUCACGACAUUCGAUCAAGCACUGGUCAAUCGACUAAGUCGAUUACAUGUUAGCCAGACCCUUUCUAGGUCAUUCCCACUCAUACCACGAUUUCCCAGUGGUGUACUCAUUCACCAAAUCACAUGUGUUUCUUGGGCGUCGUUUUCGCCAAUGACAUACCGAUCACCGACACCGUGCGUUCUUUAAGGCGCCGUUUUCACCAGUGAUAACCUCGAUCACCGAACCACGUGUCCUUUCUAGGGCGCCGUUUUCGCCAAGGUGACAUCAGCUAUAGACAACAUCGUGAGUUCUUUAAGGCGUCGUUUUCACCAGUGAUAUUCCCAUAACCACCGAACCACGUUUGUCUAUAAGUCAUUUACGUGCGUUCUUUAAGGCGCCGUUUUCGCCAGUGAUACUCCCAAUCACCGAACCACGUAUGUCCAAUAAUAUCGUACCUGAUUGGUCUCAACCAAUAAUGUUCUCAGUUAGCUCUCACCAUUCUCCCUACUAUAUAGCCCAUCAACGUACUGGCGCUAUAUAUCCAUACUUAGCCAUCCAUCAAUCAAAUAUUCAAUAACAAACAAUUUAGGACAAAUCUUCAAAUUUCACAAUUAAUUCAAUUCCACACAACGUAGAGCUCAAAUAAAUAAACGGGCUACACCACGACAAUCAGCACGAAAUUCCGGUCACCGACCAUCCCGGUUGAAUUUCCGGAAAAAUAAUUAAUUAAAUAAAUAAAUUUCGAAAAUAAAUAAAUAAACAUUAAAAAUCCAAUUUAGGCCCAUAUUGCCUUAUUGGAGCCCGAAACGGGUCGGGAAAAAUCCCGAGAUGCAUUCAAUAAAUAACCAAACAUUUCUACUUGCUAAUAGCUAGGUCUAACCACCUAACAUGCAUCAUUAAGUCACUAAAUUAAUUGUUCUAACCUAAUCUAACAACCUAAGUGCAUGUAAUUAAAUCUAACCAACCCUAAGGCAUAAUUAGCAAACUAAUAAAGCAUUAGUGAGUAAAACUCACUUGAUUAAAAACGGGGAUCGAAUCACCGCAACGGCGACGCGACGGCGGCCGAAAUCGGACUUUCAACGACACCAGCGGACUUGGACCGGGCCUUAAGCUUAGGCCCAACAAAUCUCAGCCCAAUUGAGAUUUGUUCUUGCACUGGAAUGGGCUGGAUCUGCUGAAUUUCUGGACUGAACUAACUGCGCUAGCUGAACUGGGCUUGCUGGUCUUGUGCUGAAUUCGGUGGCCCAAAGGACUGAAGCUCACGGGCUGGGCUUGCUGCAGGGCUUGUCUUCAGCUAGUUUGUUGGACUGAAGAUCACAUGGGCUGCUGAGCUGGGCCUGGCAAGAGAAAGACGUGGGCCUAUCUUCGGUCUUCGUGGCUUCAAUUCAAGACUCCGUGGGCUUCGCUGGGCCAACGAACAGGCAGAAGAAGCAGCUUCGGCGUCCUGAUUCGUGGAGAUGGGCAAGCUGAAGGAAUCCGCACGGCUGAAGACUGAGCAGACGUGAGAGAUGUGCUGGCCGAGAGAAGCAAGGAGGGUUGCGUGGCGUCUGCUGGCUUUGGUCUUCAGUUGCUCCGUGGGAUUUCGGGGCUGCUUCAGUCAACAGAAGAGAAGAAGCUGCUGGUUCCGUUGACUCCGUUGAAGACAAGCCGAAGUAGAGAAUUCUUCGUGGGACUGCUGGUCGUGUGGUAUUCGGUCAGUUGACCGGUUGAUGCUGCCUUCGGUGAACUGAUUUGAAGGCACGAAGGAAGACCGAAGAUGAGUGGUCUUCUCUAGGGUCUUCAAGUCGCUGAAGUCCUCGGACGUGCGGCUUCUUCAGUGGAAGGAGAUGUUGACCAGCAAAUUGAAGACACGAAGAAGCUUGUAGUCUUCGGUUG
rnacentral:lncRNA from 1 species